GAUGCAGAAGUGGAUGGGCAACCGAAGGAAGCUUUUGAGGAGGGAGGAGGUAUGUACUGAACUUUUUUAGAGAAAUCAUCCAGGUAGUAGAAUGAUGUGUGGACUGGAGAGGGGAGAGGCUGGAGGCAGGGAAGUCAAUGAGGAGGCUGGUGUAAUGGUUGAGGCAGGAUGGCAGAAUGGUGGACAUUUGGAUGGAGAUGAAGGGGCAGAUUCUGGAGAUGUUGUGAAGGUAGAACCACCAGCACUUGGCGAUAGAAUGAAUAUGCAAGUCGAAUGAGAGACAAUUUGAGAAUAAUGCAAGCUUUCCUUUCAGAUAGUUGAAGAUUAAGGGGUCUUAUGAUGUGGCAGCUACCUCAGUAGCCUAGUGGAAGGGUUGACUCUAGUGGCUGGGAAUAAGUGAAAAUUAUCCAGAGCCCCAUCUAGACCACAAUACCCCAAACACCAGCCCUCAAAGGCAGUCCUUGCCCACUUAGCUCAUUUCAGUUCCAUCCCAGACAGGGAGGUGGCACUUUACUCGGGCUCAAUCAGUCAAUCAGUCAAUCGUAUUUAUUGAGCACUUACUAUGUGCAGAACGCUGUACUAAGCACUUGGUAGUUCUGUUGUAUCAAAAACAAAAUUAGCACACACAUUCCCUGCCCAUAUUGGUUCCUGGCUUUAUCCCACAUUCAAGCCCUCACUGCUCUUUCAGAUAAGACCUGAUGACACUAAGAGAAAAGAGAUUGAACAGCUGGAGAUAAGCUGCCUCUAUGGGAGUCUUUCUCCACCUGGAGCUCCAAAUCAAUAUGAGAGUGAAGAAGUACGUGACUAUAUUUCAAGAAAGAAACAGGGCUGUCUAUUUGAAUCUGUGGGCUGCAAAUUCCAGGUGACUUUUUUUUCCUGUGUGAGUAACUACAAAUGAUUCACUCUCCUUUCUGGAAUGGAUUUCUUUCCCAGUCCUACCUAUCUGCACCUCCAAUCUCUUUGGACUUCAGACCUUAGUGGUCAGGGCUGUAGCCUCUGAUUUUUUUUCUGAAAUUUGCUAAUUACAGAGCUUCUAUAAUUCAGGUGUCUAUUCUAGGGGCUAAAGUUGGAAAUUCAGGGUCAUCAGUCAGUCUCUACAACAUAUAGACCUUUUAUUGGAAGAAAUACUCCCAAGUAAGAAGGUGUCACCAUUAAGACCUUGCUGUGCCAGAAACCUUGUCUCCAGGGAAAAAGGCAAGUUUGAGAAACAGCUACCUAGAUCUCCUUCAUGUUUGGUUAAAAUGGAAAGUACCAUUCAUCUACCACAGGAACACUGCAAAGUCAUGGAGGUCCUUGAAUCUAUCAUUUCCAAGAUGGAAAUGAAAGCAGAUGUUGAGGAGAAGAUGGCACAGGUCUGUGAAAAAGUGGAGGACUGCUCAGUUAAGAUGAAAGCCUUUGUCCAGGACUCUGAGCCACAAAACCAAAGGAGCUGCAACCUGGUAGACAGAAAGGUAAAAGUAUGUCCCAGGUUUUGUUUGGGGGCAUACGCAGACUUCUCCGGGCCAGUGGAAAUUUCUCACAACGGAAUAUAUAUUUGGAAAAUACCAAAUUUUAGCAUCCGAAAAUAGGAGGCUUUAAAUGGGACAAGGGAAUGCCUCGAGUCCAAGGCUUUCUACACCAGUCAAUAUGGUUAUAAGAUGGUCAUCCAGCUUUACUUCAAUGGAGAUCAGCUGGUGAGGGGCAACUACAUCUCCAUGCAUAUCUGGCUGUUAAAGGGGGACUUUGAUGCUCUGGUCCAGUGUUCUUUCAAAGCCAAAGUAAGCAACCUGUUUUCUGAAGGGAGUCUGGGUUUCAAAGCAAAGCAGUAAUUGUGCAAAUGCUUUGGUUUCAAGAUGGAAUGGGGAUGAUGAGUACUGGAUCUAUUUAUAUAUGUGACUGAAUUCUCUCAGAAACCAUCAUUUUCCCCUGGGGCAAUUUCAUUAAC